UACGAAGGGGGCUAGCGUUGCUCGGAAUCACUGGGCGUAAAGCGCACGUAGGCGGAUUGCUAAGUCAGGGGUGAAAUCCUGGAGCUCAACUCCAGAACUGCCUUUGAUACUGGCGACCUUGAGUCCGGGAGAGGUGAGUGGAAUUCCGAGUGUAGAGGUGAAAUUCGUAGAUAUUCGGAGGAACACCAGUGGCGAAGGCGGCUCACUGGUCCGGUACUGACGCUGAGGUGCGAAAGCGUGGGGAGCAAACAGG
rnacentral:rRNA from 1 species